GAUGAACGCUGGCGGCGUGCCUAAUACAUGCAAGUCGAGCGAACGGACGAGAAGCUUGCUUCUCUGAUGUUAGCGGCGGUCGGGUGAGUAACACGUGGAUAACCUACCUAUAAGACUGGGAUAACUUCGGGAAACCGGAGCUAAUACCGGAUAAUAUUUUGAACCGCAUGGUUCAAAAGUGAAAGACGGUCUUGCUGUCACUUAUAGAUGGAUCCGCGCUGCAUUAGCUAGUUGGUAAGGUAGCGGCUUACCAAGGCAACGAUGCAUAGCCGACCUGAGAGGGUGAUCGGCCACACUGGAACUGAGACACGGUCCAGACUCCUACGGGAGGCAGCAGUAGGGAAUCUUCCGCAAUGGGCGAAAGCCUGACGGAGCAACGCCGCGUGAGUGAUGAAGGUCUUCGGAUCGUAAAACUCUGUUAUUAGGGAAGAACAUAUGUGUAAGUAACUGUGCACAUCUUGACGGUACCUAAUCAGAAAGCCACGGCUAACUACGUG
rnacentral:rRNA from 1 species